AGGCGUGGGGAAUAUUCGCACAAUCGAUGCGAAAGCCUGAUGCAGCAACGCCGCGUGAGCGAUGAAGGCCUUCGGGUCGUAAAGCUCUGUCCUCAAGGAAGAUAAUGACGGUACUUGAGGAGGAAGCCCCGGCUAACUACGUGCCAGCAGCCGCGGUAAUAA
rnacentral:rRNA from 1 species